AAAACUUUUCCAAAAGAAAAAAAUCUGUUCUUAUCAGUUUAAUAUAUGAUACGUCCCCCAUCGGGGGACUACAUAUUAAAUGGAUUUUUCGAACAGGGAGUCGGAAAUGGGGCUUGCUCCGUCCGCUCCACGCAUCGACCCGGUAUUGCAGUACCUCCGGGAACGGUGCAACACUU
rnacentral:snRNA from 8 species